rnacentral:rRNA from 1 species
AGUUCGAUCAUGGCUCAGAUUGAACGCUGGCGGGAUGCUUUACACAUGCAAGUCGAACGGCAGCACGGACUUCGGUCUGGUGGCGAGUGGCGAACGGGUGAGUAAUGUAUCGGAACGUGCCUAGUAGCGGGGGAUAACUACGCGAGCGUAGCUAAUACCGCAUACAGCCUCGGGGGAAAGCGGGGGGACCUUUCGGGCCUCAGACUAUUAGAGCGGCCGAUAUCGGAUUAGCUAGUUGGUGGGGUAACGGUCACUCAAGGCGACGAUCUGUAGUUGGUUUGAGAGGACGACCAGCCACACUGGGAUCGAGACAUGUCCGACUCCGGCGGGAGUGUUGGUGGGAAUUUGGGACGCUGGGAACCCCGAUCCAGCCAUCCCGCGUGUGCGAUGAAGGCCUUUGAAGGAAAAGCACUUUGGCAGGAAAGAAACGGCACGGAUAAUACCCCGUGCAACUGACGGUACCUGUUGCAGAAUACACCGCCACCACGUGCCAGGCAGCGCGGCGGUAAUACGUAGGGUGCAAGCGUUAAUCGGAAUUACUGGGCGUAAAGCGUGCGCAGGCGGUUCGGAAAGAAAGAUGUGAAAUCCCAGAGCUUAACUUGAACUGCAUUUUUAACUACCGAGCUAGGAGUGUGUCAGAGGGAGGUGGAAUUCGCGUGUAGCAGUGAAAUGCGUAGAUAAGGCGGAGGAACACCUGAUGGCGAAGGCGCAGCCCCUGGGAUAACACUGACGUCAUACCAGCGGGGACAAACAGGAUUAGAUACCCGGUAGUCCACGCCCUAAACGAUGUCAACUAGCUGUUGGGGCCUUCGGGCCUUGCAGGCGCAGCUGACUGCGAAGUUGACCGCCUGGGGAGUACGGUCGCAAGAUUAAAACUCAAAGGAAUUGACGGGACUCCGCACAAGCGGUGGAUGAUGCGGAUUGAAUGAUGCAACGCGAAAACCUUACCUACCUUUACUAUGUCUGGAACUUUAGAAGAGAUUUGGGAGUGCUCGCAAGAGAACCGGAACACAGGUGUUGCAUGGCUGUCGUCAGCUCUCGUCGAGAUAUUGCUAAGUCCGCAACGAGCGCAACCCUGUCAUUACUAGUUGCUACGAAAGGGCACCUAAUGAGACUGUCGGUGACAAACCGGAGGAAGGUGGGGAUGACGUCAAGUCCUCAUGGCCCUUAUGGGUAGGGCUUCACACGUCAUACAACGGUCGGGACAGAGGGUCGCUAACCCGCGAGGGGGAGCCAAUCCCAGAAACCCGAUCGUAGUCCGGAUCGCAGUCUGCAACUCGACUGCGUGAAGUCGGAAUCGCUGCAAUCGCGGAUCAGCACGUCGCGGUGAAUACGUUCCUGGUCUGGUAUUAACACCGCCUGUCACCACAAUUACGGAGUGGGUUUUACCAGAAGUAGUUAGCCUAACCGUAAGGAGGGCGAUUACCACGGUAGGAUUCAUGACUGGGGUGAAGUCGUAACAAGGUAG